GAAAGCUUUCCCAGAGGCUCUGCCCAGAGCCGUCUCCUCACAUCUCAUUGGAGGAACUUGGUCAUAUGCCAACUCCUGAACCAAUCAUUGGUUAGGAACAUAGAACUACCUGGAUUAGCUAGGAACCAAUCUGGACUUAACUCUGAGUCACCUUACUCUGAGUGAUUGGAAGGGGAAGAUGGCACCUACGAAGUACAGAGGUUCUGUUCAUAAGGGGAAAGAUGCGGAUUAGAUCCGAAAUGGGCAACCUGCAGUGUCUGCCAUAGAUACCACUUACAUUUAAAUGGCAAACAACAGAUCCUGUCCCCUUCCCAUCUGACCUUCUUCCUCCAUUUCUCCCGUCUUCCUUUUUAUCCUUUUAAUCUCUAUUCCAGUUAUAACUGGAGGGAAUAUAAACCAAAUCAAACUGGUUUAAGACUUUAAAAAAAUUACUGGCUUAUGUAACUGAAAAGUUGAAGAGGAGAUUGGCCCAGCUUGAUCCAAGGAUUUGAGUGGUAUCAUCACGGAGGGCUAGACUUUUCCAUCUCUUCAUUGUCAGCUCUGUGCCAGCUUAUUUCUCAGGCUAACUCUAUUUGUUAGCUAAUGUGGCCUUUGGUGACUCAAAACUUCCACAAUCCCCAACUCAAGGCUCUGGAAAGACAAUGUUCCAGUUAAUAGUUAUGAAGUCACUCUUGAAGAGGCAGCGGGAGCACAGAGAAGGCUCACGGCUUGGAGGGUGGGGUGACUCUGAGGUCACCUCAGCACUUAGCAGAGUGGCCAGCCUCGGUCAGCACUCAGGACGUGUGAUGAUGAACGAACCCACUUGCAGACGGAUGGCUCCAUUUGCCUUCUUGUUGCUCUAAGUUCACU
ensembl:lncRNA